rnacentral:rRNA from 1 species
CAACUUUCAACAACGGAUCUCUUGGCUCUCGCAUCGAUGAAGAACGCAGCGAAAUGCGAUAAGUAAUGUGAAUUGCAGAAUUCAGUGAAUCAUCAAAUCUUUGAACGCACCUUGCGCUCCUUGGUAUUCCGAGGAGCAUGCCUGUUUGAGUGUCAUU